rnacentral:SRP_RNA from 1 species
GCCGGGUGUGGUGGUGCAUGCCUGUAGUCCCAGCUACUCGGGAGGCUGAGGCAGGAGAAUCGCUUGAACCCGGGAGGCGGAGGUUGCGGUGAGCCGAGAUCAUGCCACUGCACUCCAGCCUGGGNNNNNNNNNNUUUUCCUGCUCAGGCUGGAGCGCAGUGGCGCGAUCUCGUGCUCACCGCAACCUUUGCCUCCCGGGUUCAAGCGAUUAUCCUGCCUCAG